UCCCCUCAAGCUUUGCCCGCCCGGAGCUCCUCUGCUCCCGGCGGCCAGAACCGAGGGGUAGAGUAGCUCUUGGCGGCCCGAGGGGCGGGCGGUCUUGCCCGUCCCGGUGCCGCGCGAGGCACAGACACCGCGCGCAGCCGCCUGGAGGUCCGCGCGGGCGGCCGGGCGCGGUUACAAGUUUGCGCUUUGCUUCCCCAGGGCGCAGCCGCGGCUACAGUGUAGCGGCUGGGGUUCCGGCCCCACCCGGCCUGCGGGGGCGAGAGCGGGCCCCAGCGCGACCUUGGGCCUGGGGAGUGUGUCUCCGACGCCUGUGGGUGCAGCGGUCUGAGGUCUAAGCGCAGGUUGAAUACGACAGAUACAAGCCGUUGAUGCUGGAAUGCUGUGAUGCUGGUAUUUUAACGGACUCAAAACCAACUUUCAGGCUAAGUGCACUUGAGGAGGUCAGGCAUUGUUGUGUAAGUUGUAGCAGCCAUGUGUCCAUGCGCCGGCACAGGAGUUCACACGCAGUAGCUGGUGGUGAGAGAGCAGUGCAGUGGGCACCUCAUUUCCUUCUUUUCAUUUAAUUCUCACAAUUACGUGAAGUCAACACUGUUCUCUAAUUUUACAGAUAAAGCAACAUUAAGUCCCCCACCAACCCUCCAAGAACUCUGGACCACCCCUAUACCCACCAGGGACACAAGUCUUAGUCAAGGAUGGGAAGGAACUCCAACCUGUAUGGGAAGGAUCUUACCCAGUUCUCUCAUAUGAUAAAGUUCCAGGGAUCGCCAGUUGGGCCCACUAUACUAGGAUCAAACCCUAGGUAUAGGCUGAGGACUUACUUCCUCUGGACCUGGCUUACACCUUUUUUGCAAAAAAAGACCCCAAAACAAAUCAGAAUGCUUCUAAAUUCCAGGUAAGGCUCAGCAGUCUCUUCUAUUAUCUCCUAAUUCACCCUAGCUAAUUCCGGUAGCGCUUAUCAAUUAGCCAACCUUAUUGCCAUUACUUUACAAUUCAAUACCACCUGCUGGGGAUCUAUAAAACCAACAUCUCUGGAAUUGGAGCACUUACUGCUGAUCAAGUCCAACGAGAGCCCUCCCAAAUCCCGAUAUUGCCAAGGAAAGCCCCAUAAGGAUGUAACCUUUUACUAAGGGCGAAGGGCAAUUGUGUCACUCUUGUCUGAUUCUCAAAACACCCUACAUUUGAAUCCCCAAAGGGGGGCCCCUAUUUCUUGAAAGAACUCAUGAAAAAAAAAAUCUAUAACCCCUCUACUUGACCCCCUAACCACAGCCACAUUUUCAGCCCAGGGAGUCCAACUCUGGGGAACCAGAUUCUCCAUCGGAAGGGGAAGCCAGGCCUCUGGGGAAGGUAUUCUUAUGCUGACAUCCAGGUAACUGAAGAACUUACCCUUCCGAGGGAAUUUCCUGGAUUUGGGGAUCCCGAGUCUACCUGGCUCUGUCUGCUGGAUGGAGAGGUAUUUGCUCUCUAGGCUAUGUCAUCCCUAUGUCAGCAUGAUGACUCCAUAGCAGAAUAACAGCCCCCUUUCCCUCCCCAUUUCGGAAGUCAUCUAAAUGGACGAGCAGGGUUCCUCAUCCCCUGCCAUCCUCCUGGGGGGAGGGGACAGCUGUAGGAGCCUUACUGGGGAUCCAACAGCUUUUAUCCCAAAAUAGCUGCUGCUCUAAGACAGGAGAAAAUUAAACAUGUUAGAAGAGCAACUUGAUUCCUUAGCCUGUAGCCCUUCAGAACAGAAUGUGGUACCUGUUUACACCUAAAGGAGGAAUGUUGCCUCUAUAUCAAUCAGGGCAGGUACAACAAAACACCAGACAUCUUUGAAAGGGCAAGCAACAGAUUACUGGGGACUCCUUCUGGAAUGCCAAAUCUUGGCUUCUCUUCCCCUUCCCUUUGCUGCGACCAUAAUUCUGGCUCCUAAUAUUUGGGCCCAUGUCACCUUAAUUUAUUCAACACAUUCCUUAUAUAGCAGCCAUACAGCUCUGUCUGAAGGAUACCAGGUCCUCGCUCCCAUGGAACAGACUCCUUAUUCCUGGCCCCUGGUUGGACGUCCGCACCCACAUCCCUCAGCGAACUGCAGGCAUGGGAACCCAAAGCCCCAAAAUGACCCCAAUCAGCUUGAAGCAGCCAGAGCAGUCUUUGCCCAGAAGACCCCAAAGAAUUGGGUUCCCAUAACUUGUGGGGGUGGGAUGUUAGGUAGGAAAGUAGACCACCAGUGGUAGUGGCUCGAGCCUCCAUCACCUAUGUGUGGCCCUGAACAGGAAGCCUUAUAUGCAACUUUUUGGCUAUGUGACCUGGAAAGUCAUUUCUCUUGAGAUGUAGUGUAACAUACUGAAACAGGUUAGGCCAACUGGGGCGGGGGGGCGAGGACCACAGGGCAGCUAUUAAGAAUUAAGUUCUUCACAGCAUUUACAUUGAAUCUACAAAAGCACCAAAAUUUGGCCCAAAUGGAGCAUAUGUCAGUAUUUUUUAAAAUGAAUAUUGCAUAAUGUAAGAAGGGAUAUAAAAGACAGUGGUGCUAAAUAGAAUAGGAAAGUACUGGUGGCGAUGGGGAAAGCUUUCAUAAGGGAAGAAAUGUGACUGCAGCGAGAUGAACACAGGCAGGUGUGUGCUAGAAGUCCUUCCUGGUGCCCAGCUUAAUGUCAAACUCGUUUUCUUAAAAUCUCUAAUAAAGGUAUAUAAUAUCCA